GGGCGAGUGGUGAAAUUGGUAUACACGCGAGAUUUAGGUUCUCGUGCCUAACAGCGUGCGGGUUCGAGUCCCGCCUCGCCCACCA
rnacentral:tRNA from 2 species